UUGAGUUUUGAAACGGGUUGUAGCUGGCCUCUUCCAUAGGGCAUGUGCACACCUGGCUCAUUCCACUCUCAACCUCUGUGAACUUUUUGUAGAAACGGUCUUGGAAGCUGGCGAUAAAAAGUUGGUAGAAAAGACCUUUCUAUGUUAUUAUUAUUACAAACGUUUCAGUUAUAGAAUGUUUACUUGCGAAUAAAACGCAUUUAUAUA
rnacentral:misc_RNA from 1 species